rnacentral:rRNA from 1 species
AUUGAACGCUGGCGGCAGGCCUAACACAUGCAAGUCGAACGAGUGGCGGACGGGUGAGUAAUGUCUGGGAAACUGCCUGAUGGAGGGGGAUAACUACUGGAAACGGUAGCUAAUACCGCAUACCAUCGGAUGUGCCCAGAUGGGAUUAGCUAGUGGGUGGGGUAAAGGCUCACCUAGGCGACGAUCCCUAGCUGGUCUGAGAGGAUGACAAGCAACACUGGAACUGAUACACGGUCCAGACUGCGACGGGAGGCAGGAGUGGGGAAUAUUGCACAAGGGGCGCAAGACUGAUGCAGCAAUGCAGCGUGUAUGAAGAAGGCCUUAGGGUUGUAAAGUACUUUCAGCGGGGAGGCGUUACCCGCAGAAGAAGCACCGGCUAAGUCCGUGCCAGCAGCCGCGGUAAUUC